rnacentral:rRNA from 1 species
UACGGAGGGAGCUAGCGUUGUUCGGAAUCACUGGGCGUAAAGCGCGCGUAGGCGGCUUUGCAAGUCGGGUGUGAAAUCCCCCAGGCUUAACCUGGGAACUGCGCUUGUAACUGAGAGGCUAGAGUGUGGCAGAGGGGGGUGGAAUUCCACGUGUAGCAGUGAAAUGCGUAGAUAUGUGGAGGAACACCGAUGGCGAAGGCAGCCCCCUGGGCUAACACUGACGCUCAUGCACGAAAGCGUGGGGAGCAAACAGG